rnacentral:lncRNA from 1 species
GUAAGAUGCAUAGGGGUAUUUGUCGAGCUGGAACUAACGGUUGUUACAAUUGUGGCCAAAAAGGUCACUACUCCACGCAAUGCCCCAACAGACAACGAGGUUCAGCAAUUGGGAACACCCGCACCCCCUUGCCAGCAAUACGUGGACACUUGCGAAAUCAGCCUCAAUCACAUCAGUGAAAAUCUUAUGGAAACACCGCAGACAAGAGAAGUUACGCGGGAACUUGAAGACAAGAUGAAGGAAAAAUACCCCGAACUGUUUUAGCAGAGAUAUGCAAAUUUCGGGACGAAAUUUUUGUUAAGAGGGGUAGUAUGUAGUAGCCCGC